AGAGGAUCCUCAGUUGUUGAAGGAUUUUAAUAGACUAGUCCAUCCACGACAGAAGCGAAGACCCAGAAAAGGAAACACAGCACUAGAAACUGAACAAUGGCGAUUUUGAGGACCACUCUCUUUGUGAUGUUUGUGACAACAGCAUUGUCAAGACCAUUUGAUCAAGAAUCCUCUGAGUCAGUUGACUCUACAGAGGCCAUUUAUUCACCCAGUGAGCAAUAUGGCCCCAGAUAUGACACCUCUGAGGACAGCAUGGAUUCUAGUUUUGAGUACAGUUCAGAGUCUUUUUCAGUUUCAAACUCGGAUUCAGAUUCCAAUUCGGAUUCUGAUUCAGAUUCUGAUUCUCAUUCUGAAUCAGAUUCAGAUUCUGACUCGGAUUCAUCUGAGGAGAUCAUAAUAACGACUACAAGAUCACCAAUCACCACAGAAAUAAUGACAUCCACAAGAUCACCACCCACCACAGAAAUAAUAACGACCACAGGAUCACCAAUCACCACAGAAAUAAUAACGACCACAAGAUCACCGCCCACCACAGAAUUAAUGACAUCCACAGGAUCACCCCCCACCACAGAAUUAAUGACAUCCACAGGAUCACCCCCCACCACAGAAAUAAUGACAUCCACAGGAUCACCUCCCACCACAGAAAUAAUGACGUCCACAAGAUCACCUCCCACCACAGAAAUCGUAGAAACAGCUCCAACCACCACUGAUUCUGUGCCACCAACAACAGGCUGUGUCACUUUGGAUAUUACAACAAAAAAAAGAGGAGACAAUUAAGUAAUAACAGUAAAAAAAAUACUGAUUACAGAUUAUUCUACUCUAUACUGCAUUUUGUGGCAUACUUGAGGAUAUAUUUGAAGAUUACUGUUUGUGAUCUCAGUAAAUUGUAUGUUGCAUGUUGUUUAUUCUGCACGCUUUUAGAUAAAUUCAUUCCAUGUUUGCUUGACUUGAUAUAAGUAUAUAUUUGUCUUUAGAGGCAGUUAUACUCCAAUGAAUAAAGCCAUCUUAUGAAAUAGA